rnacentral:lncRNA from 1 species
AAAAAAUGGUGGGAAAUUUGGCCUUCUCCCCACGGAAACACAUGAUGCCAAAUUAAUAAAACAAAGGCUGAAAACUCUCUCCGCCCACUUUCCCCAAAUUACACUCACGAAUGGACAAAAUUUCCUCACUGCCCAACUCACAGAAAUCUCCAUAUCCACCCAUUUCGAGUCUCGGAAGGGAGAAAGCAAGCUCCGGUCGGCAUGUGCUUGAAGAUCUCCGGCCGCAAGGAGCCCUAGCGCACUCGCACAUGCAAAUGAAUUUCACAAAUCUUGUGAAAACUCUCAUUUCCACCUAAUCUUAGUCUCGUCUGGUAAGCGUAUAAAUGCAUAAUGUUGAUUUAGAUUCCAUAUUUACAGAUCAGAUGUCUGUUGAUAAAAAAUCUGGAAAAAAAAAUCGUAUCUGUUUUAGUUAUAUUUAUCGUUCUCUCCAUAUACCUGUGAUUUUUUCUUUUUUUUUCCCUUGGAUUGAAGAUUUUACCAGUGCUCUGUUAUUUUUAUAUUUGAAAUGUUAAACGUAGAAGACCACAUUUGAAUUGGUAGCAAUCAAAUUUCUCUACACACGAGUUUGGAUUUUUGCUUCACUAUUGUGGAUCUAUGUAAUAGCUGCUGGGCGCAAUUAGAAGUUUCAUUAUCAUGUUUAGUUUUUCCAUUAUCUCCUGCCUCUCAAUUUUUAUUUUUUAUUUUUUGCCAUGUUGAGAUAAAUCGAAUUACAGGAGUUUGGUCUUUAUUGAAGUAAGAUUUGCUAGCAUUGAUAUUGGAUCUUUGGUGAAACAUAGUAUUUGGUUGAAUCUUUUUCUGGGGCCAAAACGUGUCUCCUAACUUAUUAAAUCCGGUGUGUCAUCUAGAUUGGUCCCCUCAAUGCCAUCAGGCAUUUCCUACAUAAAGACCAUGUGGACGUUUGUAACCAUUUUCGCACCAAUGUUUCAGUAUAAUCAGUGGAUAAUUAAUCUGAGUUUCACAUGUGCAUCAUAUAAAUUGGUGUUUGAUGAUGUUGGCUUAAGUUUGGAACCUGCCUCUCUAUUACAAUUUGCUGGUGUACCACUAGGAUCAUGAGAAACUGUGGUUGGAAUACUUAUAAAUUUCUUAUUGAUGCAUAAUAUUGUUUGCCAACAAAUUCCUUUGUGUUAUUUUCCUUCGAACAACAGUGUUUUCUAUUUGAGUUGAUGCUCUGUGAUAUGUUCGCAUCGCAAAAUGGGCUAUAAGAAUUGUGGAAUCUGUCACAGUUGUAGAGUUGAGGGGCAUUUCUUAGCUGACUGUCCAUGGAAACGCCAACGCCCAAAUUGGGAGCACAGAUUUGAGCAAAGUUUCAUGGUGGAGGAGACUAAAAAUAUAGGGCGAUUAUUUUUUUGCUACAGUAAGAAAUGUGGAUUUUGGAAAUGGGUUUUCAAAGAAAAUUAAAGCAGCCAAUUGUCUAGAGCUAGCGCUUCUUUGGUUAACUUUGCAACUAACGAAACAUCUGAACAAAUAUCACACAUGUUUCAAUCUCAAGUUUGCAUCUCUGUGAAAGAAGAUCUACAUAUUAUGGUGAACGUAAAGGUGUGCAAGAAAUUGCCAAAAUGAAUUGAGAAGGAAAGGGGUCGACCUGAUUGGUAGCUAUUAAUUGAAGUAAUAGUUAUUACAUAAUCUUUUGUACGAGGUCGGACUACUUUGAGCGAAGGAAUGUAAACUAUGUUUGUAAAUUACGUUAAUUUAUGAAAUGUUAUAUUUCAACUCUUUUUUUUAACAUCAAUUGUUACUUGUAAAUUACCUUUUAGAUUAUCCAUUUGUAGUUGGCUUCGUAGAUUCACGGCCAUCUUGUUUAUUGAACCUUCAACUAAAAAGUCUCAAAUAAAAAAAUCCAUCGUAUUUGCCUUUUUUGUAGUUCUUAGCAAGAACAGUUGGGUGUUUUUAGUCCUCCUGGGAUUCAUCACGUAUUACCAUAACAUCCCUUUGGGAAAAGAGGAAAGAAUAACCGUUACAAUUUAAAGACUUCAACUAUAUGGAACAUUUUUCUUGUAUGUGCAUGUAUAAUACUAGGCACUAUUGUAAUUUUCUUGUUAUAAAACAGAGAUAAUUCGACGGAAGAUAAGGCAAAUUCCGAAUGUGGAGAACCCAACACCAACCUCAUCACCAGCUUCAUGGCUAUGUACAACUAAGAGAGAACUUGAAAGCCAGCCUCAUCAAUCACUAGAUUAAGGUACAAACUUCAUGGCUCAGUAUGAUGACCACGGACAUUUGCCCGAUUUUUACACUUUGCAAGCUCCUUUUUACUUUAUAUCACAAAGC